rnacentral:rRNA from 1 species
CUACGGGCGGCUGCAGUGAGGAAUAUUGCACAAUGGGGGGAACCCUGAUGCAGCAACGCCGCGUGGAGGAUGACGCAUUUCGGUGUGUAAACUCCUUUUAUAUGUCAAGAAAAUGACGGUAGCAUAUGAAUAAGCACCGGCUAACUCCGUGCCAGCAGCCGCGGUAAUACGGAGGGUGCAAGCGUUACUCGGAAUCACUGGGCGUAAAGGACGCGUAGGCGGGAUGGAAAGUCAGGUGUGAAAUCCUACAGCUUAACUGUAGAACUGCACUUGAAACUGGUAAACUAGAGUAUGGGAGGGGGAGAUGGAAUUAGUGGUGUAGGGGUAAUAUCCGUAGAUAUCACUAGGAAUACCUAAAGCGAAGGCGAUCUCCUGGAACAUAACUGACGCUAAGGCGUGAAAGCGUGGGGAGCAAACAGGAUUAGAUACCCGCGUAGUC